rnacentral:lncRNA from 1 species
GAAAAAUGGCAGAGAUAGAGGUGUAGAGGCAGAUGGGCAGAGACAGAGGCAGAGAGGCAGAGGGGAAGAAGGGCAGGGGGCAGAGGACAGAGGAAGAGGCAGAAGGAGAGAGGCAGAGGCAGAGGGGCAGAGGCAGAGGCAGAAGCAGAGGCAGAGGACAAUGGCAGAGGCAAUGGGGUAGAGGCAGAAAGGCUGAGUAAAAGGCAGAUGGGCAGGGGCAGAGGGGAAAAGGCAAAGUUAGAGACAGAGGCAGAGAGACAGAGGCAGAGAGGCAGAGGCAGAGAGGAAGAGGCAGAGGGGAAGAUUCCAAGAGGCAGAGGGGCAGAGAACAGAGGUAGAGGCUGAGAGAAAAAGGCAGAGGUAGAGGGGCAGAGGGAAGAGGGAGAGGGGCAGAUGCAGAGGCAGAGGGGCAGCAGAGGCAGAGAGACAGAGGGACAUAGGACAAUGACAGAGGGAGAGGGGCAGAGGCAGAGAGAGCGAGGGGCAGAGGACAGUGACAGAGGCAGAGGGGCAGAGGCAGAGGGGCAGAGACAGAGGCAGAAGGGCAGGGGCAGAGGUGCAGUGGCACAGUUAGAGACAUAAGCAGACAGGCAGGGGCAGAUGAGCAGAAGCAGAGGGGCAGAGGCAGAUGGGGAGGGACAGAGGGGCAGAAGCUGAGUUGAAGAGGUCAGAGGCAGAGGGGCAGAGGCAGAUGGGGAGGGACA